rnacentral:tRNA from 1 species
GCGGGUGUGGUGGAAUUGGUAGACGCGCUGGACUCAAAAUCCAGUUCCGAUGAGGAGUGUCGGUUCGAGCCCGACCACCCGCA